UCUGGGAGACAUGGCGCUGCCUACCACCUGGCACAGUCCCAUGCUGGCUCUGGGCGCAGCUCGCACCACACCGCUGGUUCUGGGAGACACACGGAGCCACCUGACCCAGGCCCCAGCCAGCUCUGGGUGUAUUUCACAGCACGCCACUGGCUCCGGGACACGUGGUGCCUCCUGCCACCCGGCACAGUCCCAGCUGGUUCUGGGCCUGGCGCGCUGCAGACUACAACUCGCAGGAGGCAAAGUGGGCCAGGAACAGAACCCCCAUUUAUAACAUUGCACCUAUGGGAAAUAAAGAUGUGACUUGUGAUGCCUCCACUUACGAUGGUUCUCCAGGAACCAAUUAGGUUGUAAGUGCAGGGAUUGCCUGUAGUGUAUCCAUUUUUAGAGCUUGUUCUGUCUAUAGUUGGGGGCUGCCUGCUCUGUGCCACCUUUCAGCCACCAGUCUUUUUGGAAAAACCAUACCUCUAAAGAAAACUUGUACUGAGUGUGUCCUUCUCCUCAUCCAACCAAGUCUUGCUUUUCACACUUGAUCCCACUUCUUCCCCCUUCCAAAAAGGUGAAGCAACUCUAGACUAAAAAAAAUCUGUGCAGAUUUAGUGACAUGGUUUAACCUUGUCUUUCCUUCUGGGCUCCCCUCUGCCCUAGAGUACACAGGUCACUCAUGACUGUCAUAUGACUGUGUGUUGAUUUGUAGAAGGAUGCUUGUAUAGUAAGUAAUAAUGCACUCUUCCUUGCAAGGAUUUGAAGGACCUACCUCCUUCACGACAACAAAGGUAUAAGAACCUGGAAUCUUGUCAGCAUCGUCCAUUCAUCUUCAUACUGUCUUAAUUAGUUAUUUUGUUAGGGUAUGUGCACAAUAUUUUUGAGUCCUUAGUGCUUGUCACUCAAUUUUUAAGCUGUUAUUUCAAUUUAUAGGUCACUUCCUUUCUGAUGUUGAUGUUUGCUUCAGAAUAGCACAUUUGAAUGGCCUACAGUGGACCUUUUGAACAGAAGGCAUUUCCUUGAGAACAAUUUAUUUUUAAAUAAAAAUUCUUUUCACGAUAUCCUGUCUGAUUAGUAUUUCGUUUCUCUCCUUUCCUUGGUUCUUGAAGUCCUUUUUUAAUCAGAUUACAUAAGAACAGCAAAGUUUUUAAAUAGCAACUAGCCAAUGACACUUUUGGUACUGUGGUCAGUAUUCUGACAUCGUCCGUCAGAGUGUGGAAGUUGUUACAAGCACGUCUUUCAGAAUAUUUGGUGUUCUGCAGAGUUUGACUGCCAUCAGUGCAGCAGUUUGUCCUGGGUUAGCACAACUUCUUCCAAGGCAAUUGUUACCUAUGUCCAUGGCACUUAGUUUAAACUCCCCAGAAACCUCUGGACAACUUGUUUUUAUUAUUCUUUGCAGAAGAUCUUGUGAAUACACACAGUGCCAUAUACAAAGUUGUCUGAAUAGAAUAGAGGAACUGGUGCACAUGGCUUGAGCUUGUUUAGGAAGAGACUUUCUUGUGAAUCAGGAAGCAUUUGUGACCAGUCUUGGGGUUUACAUCCCUUUCCUGUUUUCUCUCUCGUGUGUGUGUUGUGCGCUUAUAUUUAGCCAUGCAUCACAAUUCAUAAAGCUUUCAAGCUUUGUGUUGCUACCAGCAAGGACUCUUCUUAUCCAUUGAAGUUGAUGAUAAUACGAACAGUAUUGCCGUAACUUCUGCUUUUGUGCUGUGGUGGGCUCAUACAACUUAUUUUUUGUCAUAGAAUAGGAGUAAAAUACUUUAAAUAUACUGCUUUUUUCAUUCAGUUGAAUGGUCGAUUGAUCUGUUUUUUUGUCAGUAGGACAGAUGCUGCACUGUUACCUUGAGCGUCUCUCCCAGGGCAAAAUGUGAGCUUGGGGCUUGUGUGUGUUAGAAUUUGAGAUUAGCAUAAGGACAGGCACAUGUUUGUUUUCCAGUGCUAAAUCUGGAGCCCUUUUGAAGGGCUUAAAUGACGGGCGGGCAAUAAUUUUUGCUCGGGGGCCACUUCAAAAAUGUUUGACGUAGCCCCAGGCCACUCCAAAAGGUGUGGGGCUACCGCACUUCCAGACCAUGAUUGGUCCAGGCAGUGGGGGAGCCCCGUUGCCCCCCUUUCCAUUAGGCACCAUACCCUGGAAGAGGC